rnacentral:rRNA from 1 species
GAAUGAACAGGGAUAAGCUCAACUUGAUAAUUGGGCUUCUGGCUUUGAAUUGUAAUCUCAAGAUGUAGGCCAAGGAGGGCGUAGGUGUAAGCCUCUUGGAAAAGAAAUCAUUGAGGGUGAGAAUCCUGUUUGUCACCUGCAGCUCCCUCCUGUACGGCCUACCUUCUAAGAGUCACGUUCCUCGGGAUUGGAGCGCAAACUGGGUGGUAAAUUUCAUCUCAAGCUAAAUAUGGGCUCUCGAAACCGAUAGCAAACAAGUACCAUGAGGGAAAGAUGAAAAGGACUUUGAAAAGAGAGUUAAAAGUGCCUGAACUUGCUGAAAGGAAAGCGGAUGGAACCAGUGUUGCUCGGUGAGAUUGUUGCGCGCUAUGGUGAUGGCCUGCUGCAUCAGCGCAAGCGUUCCUGUGGGUUUUGAUCUUGAUGCGCGUGAUGCUUCUUGCCUUGUGUGUCAUCGUCGGUUCGAUGGUGAGGUCAACCCUUGGGACAUGGUAGCUCGCCUCUGGGUGUGUGAACGUGCCUUGUGGAACUCACCUUCGAACUGCAAACCGAAUGUGCGGUUGCGCUGCCCUCGCUCUGCGUCACUGCCCCUCGCCCUCGUGCGUGCUGGGUGGUGUCGCGCCGCGCGGGGCACCUUCUGCACACAGCUAUGGUGACUAAAUGGUUCUAUUCGACCCGUCUUGAAACACGGACCAAGGAGUCUAACAUAUGUGCGAGUUCUUGGGUGGUGAAACCUACGUGCGCAAUGAAAGUGAGUACUGAGAUCUUUGCAUCAGCAGCCGACCGAUCGACUGGGAGAGGUUUGAGCAUGAGCAUAUCUGUUAGGACCCGAAAGAU